ACUUAUAUAGUAUAAAAAUUAUUUUUGACUUCCAAUCAAAAGAUCUAACAGUAGUAUAAGUA
rnacentral:tRNA from 1 species